ensembl:snoRNA
CCUGGAGGACUAAGAAGGCCAAGUCUGAUGAAGCAAGCCUUGGCUGAUACACUCCUCCUAGAAAAAAAGGGUUGGAGAGAGCAGCCCUUCAUGGAGAAGGUCCCAGGGGCUGACUGUACUACCCAACAUUC